GGUGAUUGGAUGGUGAGAAAAAGAGGAAAAAAUUUGAAGGUUUUUGAUAGAAGAACAAAAAAGAUGAGGUGUAGAAGCAGCAGAAAAACAAAAACAAAAAUAAGAAAAGAGGUACAAGAAGACGCCACGUGACAGUGCGUGAUUGGGUAACGCUGCCACGUCGGUAAAAAGUUAACGGUAUUAGACUCGAGUACCAAUUCAG
rnacentral:lncRNA from 1 species